GAUGAACGCUAGCGGCAGGCCUAAUACAUGCAAGCUGAACGGUAAAUGUUGUAGCAAUACGAUAUGAGAGUAGCGUAAGGGUGCGUAACACGUAUGCAAUCUACCCGCAACAGGAGGAUAGCUCCCCGAAAGGGGAAUUAAUACUCCAUAAUAUCACGAGAGGGCAUCUGAUUGUGAUUAAACUCCAAGGGGUUGCGGAUGAGCAUGCGUCUGAUUAGUUAGUUGGUGAGGUAACGGCUCACCAAGACGAUGAUCAGUAGGGGAGCUGAGAGGUUGGUCCCCCAACCUGACAGUGAGAUACGGGCCAGCAUCCUACGGGAGGCAGCAGUAGGGAAUAUUGGUCAAUGGGUGAGGGCCUGAACCAGCCAUGCCGCGUGCAGGAAGAAAGCCUUCUGGGUUGUAAACUGCUUUUGCCAGGGGAUAAAAUACCCAUGCGUGGGGAAUUGAAGGUACCUGGUGAAUAAGCCACGGCUAACUACGUGCCAGCCGCCGCCGUAAUAC
rnacentral:rRNA from 1 species